UACGAAGGAGGCGAGCGUUGUCCGGAAUCAUUGGGCGUAAAGAGCGUGUAGGCGGCCCGAUAAGUCCGCUGUGAAAGUCCAGGGCUCAACCCUGGAAUGCCGGUGGAUACUGUCGGGCUCGAGUUCGGAAGAGGUGAGUGGAAUUCCUGGUGUAGUGGUGAAAUGGCGUAGAUAUCGGGAGGAACACCAGUGGCGAAGGCGGCUCACUGGCCCGAUACUGACGCUGAGGCACGAAAGCGUGGGGAUCAAACAGG
rnacentral:rRNA from 1 species